rnacentral:rRNA from 1 species
UACGUAGGGGGCAAGCGUUGUCCGGAAUCAUUGGGCGUAAAGCGCGUGUAGGCGGUUACGUAAGUCUGCUGUGAAAGUCGGAGGCUCAACCUCCGAAAGCCGGUGGAUACUGCGUGACUAGAGUACGGAAGAGGAGAGUGGAAUUCCUGGUGUAGCGGUGAAAUGCGCAGAUAUCAGGAGGAACACCAACGGCGAAGGCAGCUCUCUGGGAUGUUACUGACGCUGAGACGCGAAAGCGUGGGGAGCGAACAGG